ensembl:lncRNA
AGAGAGCAGGAUGCCCGAGGAUGCGCGGCAAAGGUCUAGGUGGGCAGCUGGGCAGCGGGGAGAAAGGGAAGGCGGGAGCCAGGAGAGAGCGGGGCUUCGGGUGCUCUUUGAAGGGAAGGCUUUGAACAGUGUGUGACCUGGGAUGAAGGUUUAUGGCGAGCAGCUGACUCAGACCAGCGGAGGGUUCCUCCUGCAACUUCUCUGUAGGAAAGUUGCUGUCUCCGUAUCUGCGAGGAGGACACCUUCUCAGAUGCUCUGACUUCUGAAGAGGUAGAAAUCAUUUGAAAGGUGGACGCCUUUUCGGCUCCCUCCCACACCAAAUGCAGUUGAAUGCAGUUGGCCCAGAGCUGAAAUAUUUCAUUUAACAGGUAACACGACCCCAGGUGAUUAACUACGAGGACAGAGUCAAAGGGGGUCCUAAGAAAAAGGGCAUUUACACACCAGGCAGCAGGUUCGAUGACACGUACUGUCCACACCCAUCAACACUGCAUGACGCGCGUUUGCUCAGACCCAUGCCCCACGCCGGCCGUGCAGGCCCCUGCCGAGCAACGAGGGGCCAGAAGCCGGUCCCCAGGAGCCCAGAGGUCCUCAGGGGACACAGAUGCUGUUAACCCAAGAGCCACAGAAACGCGCCUGCAGCUGCAGCUGGCCCCAUGAAGUGUUUUGAAGGGGAGGCUGACGUAAUCCCAGGUCUGUUCUGAAAUCACCAUCCUGAUGAAAAUUGAUGCAAUGAGGUCAAGAGUGGAGGCCAUUGAUCCAGCCACCCUGUGCCGCCCCCACUUCAUGAGCACCCCGAAUGUCCCUGGAACCCCACUGAGCCCCCAACCACGUUAGCCUGGGAUGCCCUUUGAAAUGUACCAACGGGCACUGGCCAGGCUGAGCUGAAUGGCAGGACCUCCAUCCGUGUGUGACCGUGGCUCUACCCACCAUCGGGUGAUGGUCGUCAGAGGUCCUCUGUGUUUGCUCCCUGCAGAAGCCAAGUGUAGGCAUAGCCAGAGUUUUAUAACUUAAUUAACUACUUACACAAUCUGGAAAAACAGGACUGUGAGAGGGAGUUAUUUCUAAGCAAACAAACCUACCGUGCUGACUGCUUUGGGAAGACUCGACUAAGGUAAGUCAACUAAAAGACCACCAACAAAUGCGGUCAGGUGAGAAGACACGAGUCUGAAAAGGAUUCUGUGCUCAGGUUGGGGGACAGGAGUGUGUAAGUAAUCAUAUAACCCUCGAUCGAAAAUGCAGACAAUGCAUCCAAGUUGUUGGUGAUGCAAGAAAAACCCCAGGAAACUAAUCGGAGACCCGACUCCAAGGAAAAGGCUUGGCCCCAUCAAAGUUGUUGAACGAACCUAUGAUUGUGUAUUUAGCUUUAAACAUGCUUAUAUUAAAUGAGUCAAGAA